GUCGGUAUCGAUUAGGGGUUAAAUCACUUCGUUGUGGAAGCUUACUACGAGCAAAACCGAAGAGCCAUUGGUUCGAUUCCAGUUACCGACA